rnacentral:rRNA from 1 species
AAUGGGCGGAAGCCUGAACCAGCCAUGCCGCGUGCAGGAAGAAUGCCCUACGGGUUGUAAACUGCUUUUCCCCGGGAAGAAUAAGGCCCCUGCGGGGGUCGAUGCCGGUACCGGGGGAAUAAGGAUCGGCUAACUCCGUGCCAGCAGCCGCGGUAAUACGGAGGAUCCGANCGUUAUCCGGAUUUACUGGGUUUAAAGGGUGCGUAGGCUGUUCGCUAAGUCAGCGGUGAAAUGGCGCGGCUCAACCGUGCAGCUGCCGUUGAAACUGGCGGGCUUGAGUGGGUUCGAGGCAGGCGGAAUGCGCGGUGUAGCGGUGAAAUGCAUAGAUAUCGCGCAGAACGCCAAUAGCGUAGGCAGCUUGCCAGGCCCCAACUGACGCUGAGGCACGAAAGCGUGGGGAUCAAA